rnacentral:rRNA from 1 species
AAUGCGUAUGCAACCUACCGUAUCAGAGGGGAAUAACCCGGCGAAAGUCGGACUAAUACCGCAUAAAACAGGGGCACCGCAUGGUGAUAUUUGUUAAAGAAAUUCGCUGAUAGAUGGGCAUGCGUUCCAUUAGGUAGUUGGUGAGGUAACGGCUCACCAAGCCGACGAUGGAUAGGGGAACUGAGAGGUUGGUCCCCCACACUGGUACUGAGACACGGACCAGACUCCUACGGGAGGCAGCAGUGAGGAAUAUUGGUCAAUGGGCGGGAGCCUGAACCAGCCAAGUCGCGUGGAAAAGGAAGAAGGAUCUAUGGUUCGUAAACUUCUUUUGCAGGGGAAUAAAGUGCAGGACGUGUCCUGUUUUGUAUGUACCCUGAGAAUAAGGAUCGGCUAACUCCGUGCCAGCAGCCGC